GUCCAACAGAGAGGUUCUGCAGGCAGUGGAACUUCAUGCCGAGAGUGAAUUGAAGGAGUGGGUGACAGCGGUGGUAAAACUGGAAGUGAAUGAAGAUGGGGGAGCCGAUGUACAUUUCGAGGCGUUUCAGAUGAGUGAUACAUGCAUUAAACUUCUCAAGGAAAAGUGGUUCGAGACAGAGAUUGGGGAGGGUAUGGAUCCUAAGUUGUCUAAAAUGAAGAAGGAUGUUGUUGUUGGAGGAAAG
rnacentral:misc_RNA from 1 species